GACGAACGCUGGCGGCGUGCUUAACACAUGCAAGUCGAACGAAGUGGCGAACGGGUGAGUAACGCGUAAUCAACCUGCUCUUCAGAGGGGGACAACAGUUGGAAACGUCUGCUAAUACCGCAUACUGAAGGAGGGGAUUGCGUCGGAUUAGCUAGUGGGAGGGGGGACGGCCCACCAAGGCGAUGAUCAGUAGGCGGGCUGAGGGGGUGAACGGGCACAUUGGGACUGGAACACGGCCCAGACUCCUACGGGAGGGAGGAGUGGGGGAGCUUCCGAUAUGGACGAAAGUCUGACGGAGCAACUCCGCGUGAGUGAUGACGGCCUUCGGGUUGUAAAGGUCUGUUAAGCGGGACGCGGUACCGGAAUAGAAAGCCACGGCUAACUACGUGCCAGCAGCCGCGGUAAUUC
rnacentral:rRNA from 1 species